rnacentral:rRNA from 1 species
AGCGAACGCUGGCGGCAGGCCUAACACAUGCAAGUCGAACGAACUCUUCGGAGUUAGUGGCGGACGGGUGAGUAACACGUGGGAACGUGCCUUUUGGUUCGGAAUAACUCAGGGAAACUUGUGCUAAUACCGAAUGUGCCCUUCGGGGGAAAGAUCUAUCGCCAUUAGAGCGGCCCGCGUCUGAUUAGCUUGUUGGUGAGGUAACGGCUCACCAAGGCGACGAUCAGUAGCUGGUCUGAGAGGAUGACCAGCCACACUGGGACUGAGACACGGCCCAGACUCCUACGGGAGGCAGCAGUGGGGAAUCUUGCGCAAUGGGCGAAAGCCUGACGCAGCCAUGCCGCGUGAAUGAUGAAGGUCUUAGGAUUGUAAAAUUCUUUCACCGGGGACGAUAAUGACGGUACCCGGAGAAGAAGCCCCGGCUAACUUCGUG